AGCGAACGCUGGCGGCAGGCCUAACACAUGCCAGUCGAACGAACUCUUCGGAGUUAGUGGCGGACGGGUGAGUAACACGUGGGAACGUGCCUUUAGGUUCGGAAUAACUCAGGGAAACUUGUGCUAAUACCGAAUGUGCCCUUCGGGGGAAAGAUUUAUCGCCUUUAGAGCGGCCCGCGUCUGAUUAGCUAGUUGGUGAGGUAAAGGCUCACCAAGGCGACGAUCAGUAGCUGGUCUGAGAGGAUGAUCAGCCACAUUGGGACUGAGACACGGCCCAAACUCCUACGGGAGGCAGCAGUGGGGAAUCUUGCGCAAUGGGCGAAAGCCUGACGCAGCCAUGCCGCGUGAAUGAUGAAGGUCUUAGGAUUGUAAAAUUCUUUCACCGGGGACGAUAAUGACGGUACCCGGAGAAGAAGCCCCGACUAACUUCGUG
rnacentral:rRNA from 1 species